GGGAGGCUGGCGGAGGGGGAGACAGCACCCCCAGUUUUUUUUGCCCAGCCUGUUUGUCUAGGGAAACUCGGAUCCCCGGGCCCUCCUUUUCCUUUACAGCAGUGUUCUUCGUUCCACUCCUGACCGACAGCACAGCCAGGAUCUCUUGCAGCCCAAGCUGACCUAAAACUUGCAAUGAAACAAUCAAAGGGUGACCUUGAACUUCUGGUUCUCCUGACUCUGCUUCUCAAGUGCUGGGCUUACAGGGCCUUCUAUUCCAACACCUCUUCCAGCGACCUGGUCAGGUGUGGCCAAUGGAAGCAAGAGCCCAGUGAAGUCGCCUAAGCCCGAGGGCAUGUGCUGGGAUCACAGGUGUGUGCGGAGACACUUGAUUUACUUGGUGCUGGAAAUAAAACCCAAGGCUUCUUGCACACUAUUCUACCGACUGAGCCAUAUCGCCAACAUGCUUUUCACCUCCUG